UGUGUGCCUCAUCCCAAUACUAGGUUGUGAGCUUCCUGAGGGCAGGGAGCGUAUUUUAUCUGUAAAGAGCUGGAGUUGAAGCAAGAGGUCCUGGGUGUGAAUCCCGUCUCUGUCACUAACUGGCCACGUGACCUUGGGCUAGUCGUUCCUCCUCUCUGGGCCUCGGUUUCCCCAUUUGGAAAGCGAGGAUCUGUGUCUGGACCAUCUUUAAGGUCCCUUACAAACACUAACACCAUAUGAUUUGAAUUGGGUAUCUUUCUCUGCCCAGUACCGGGCUCUGCGCCCAACAGGCAUUAGAUAGAUGCUAGUCGACUGAAUUUUUUGAACGCUCCUCUCUCGAUGACUCCUCUUGCCUGGCCUCAUCCUACUGGCUUGUACACAGUGCAGGGACUUGAGACCCCUGUCCCCUGAGAAUGAAUUUGCCGGGCUGGAUCGUCUCACCGUCUGCCUGAGUGAGGAGACCAGGGAAUCUGAGGUUGCAGCGCAGUUUGGUUGCUGAGUUUGUGCGUGCAGGUCCCCUCCCCUAACCUCCCAGCCUUGUGGGAAUUUCCUUGGUAGUGGUGGUGAAAGGAACCGUGAUCCUCGGCUGAUGCUCCCGAUUCCUUGAUGGAGAGGCGGUUCUCGGAGGUCUUGCCCCAUGGUUUCCUUGAGAUUUGAACGCGGCAGAAAUUGUGCAUGCUGGGCAACUACCUCAUUCCAUUGGACUGAAGGAGUCAUCAUAUCAUUAUCAUCUUCCUCAUCACUAUCAUCAUCAUUGCUUUACAACUGUAGAACCAACUACAAAGUACUUUUCUCGAAACUGUCCCAUGAGGUAAGUAAUUCAAGUAUUAUUGACUCCAUUUUGUAGUUAUGGAAACUGAGGCUCCGAGUGGGGAAAUGACUUACACACAGUUAAUAAGCUAGUUAAGUGUUGUAGGUUGGACUCAUACUCAUGUCUUAUAAUAACUGAGGUCAACACUUUGCCCACAAUAUCUUAAUGUGGCUAUGAGUAUGCCAAAGUACACGUUCUGUAUAGUCUUGCACAUCUGUCAUUUCAACCAGGUAAAUAACCAAUAGCCUCAAAAAGGAAUGAUGGGGAAAUAAAAGGAGGGUCAACUAAUCA
rnacentral:lncRNA from 1 species